rnacentral:rRNA from 1 species
AACGAACGCUGGCGGCAGGCCUAACACAUGCAAGUCGAACGCCGCAGCAAUACGGAGUGGCAGACGGGUGAGUAACACGUGGGAACGUACCUUUCGGUUCGGAAUAACUCAGGGAAACUUGAGCUAAUACCGGAUACGUGCGAGAGCAGAAAGAUUUAUCGCCGAAAGAUCGGCCCGCGUCCGAUUAGCUAGUUGGUGAGGUAAUGGCUCACCAAGGCGACGAUCGGUAGCUGGUCUGAGAGGAUGAUCAGCCACACUGGGACUGAGACACGGCCCAGACUCCUACGGGAGGCAGCAGUGGGGAAUAUUGGACAAUGGGCGAAAGCCUGAUCCAGCCAUGCCGCGUGAGUGAUGACGGCCUUAGGGUUGUAAAGCUCUUUCGCCAGGGACGAUAAUGACGGUACCUGGAUAAGA